CAGUCGCCGCGUAAAACGGAGGGCGCGAGCGUUACCCGGAUUUACUGGGCGUAAAGGGCGUGUAGGCGGCCUGGGGCGUCCCAUGUGAAAGGCCACGGCUCAACCGUGGAGGAGCGUGGGAUACGCUCAGGCUAGAGGGUGGGAGAGGGUGGUGGAAUUCCCGGAGUAGCGGUGAAAUGCGCAGAUACCGGGAGGAACGCCGAUGGCGAAGGCAGCCACCUGGUCCACUUCUGACGCUGAGGCGCGAAAGCGUGGGGAGCAAACCGGAUUAGAUACCCCCGUAGUCCCUGUCUCUUAUACA
rnacentral:rRNA from 1 species